AACCCAUGGUGAGGACAAUCCCUCUGAUAACCCUUGAAGCGUUCCCAUGAAGCCUUGAAUGCUUCGGUUGGAUCCUGAACAAAUGAGGAGAUCUUAGCUCUCAAAUC
rfam:Arabis alpina cultivar Pajares scaff_52212_1_contig_17, whole genome shotgun sequence.